rnacentral:rRNA from 1 species
CAGACCUCUAAUCGGAAAAGACUACCCGCUGAGUUUAAGCAUAUCACUAAGCGGAGGAGAAGAAACUAACCAGGAUUUCCCUAGUAACGCCGA